CCAGACUCCUACGGGAGGCAGCAGUGGGGAAUAUUGCACAAUGGGGGAAACCCUGAUGCAGCGACGCCGCGUGAGUGAAGAAGUAAUUCGUUAUGUAAAGUUCUAUCAGCAGGGAAGAAAAUGACGGUACCUGAGUAAGAAGCCCCGGCUAACUACGUGCCAGCAGCCGCGGUAAUACGUAGGGGGCAAGCGUUAUCCGGAUUUACUGGGUGUAAAGGGAGCGUAGGUGGCAUGGCAAGCCAGAAGUGAAAACCCGGGGCUUAACCCCGCGGAUUGCUUUUGGAACUGUCAGGCUGGAGUGCAGGAGGGGCAGGCGGAAUUCCUGGUGUAGCGGUGAAAUGCGUAGAUAUUAGGAGGAACACCAGUGGCGAAGGCGGCUUACUGGACUGUAACUGACGUUGAGGCUCGAAAGCGUGGGGAGCAAACAGGAUUAGAUACCCUGGUA
rnacentral:rRNA from 1 species